rnacentral:rRNA from 1 species
AUUGAACGCUGGCGGCAUGCCUUACACAUGCAAGUCGAGCGAAGUUAUUCCUUCGGGAAUAACUUAGCGGCGGACGGGUGAGUAACACGUGGGUAACCUGCCUUAUAGAGGGGGAUAGCCUUCCGAAAGGAAGAUUAAUACCGCAUAACAUUGAGCUUUCGCAUGGAAGCUUAAUCAAAGGAGCAAUCCGCUAUAAGAUGGACCCGCGGCGCAUUAGCUAGUUGGUGAGGUAACGGCUCACCAAGGCGACGAUGCGUAGCCGACCUGAGAGGGUGAUCGGCCACAUUGGGACUGAGACACGGCCCAGACUCCUACGGGAGGCAGCAGUGGGGAAUAUUGCACAAUGGGGGAAACCCUGAUGCAGCAACGCCGCGUGAGUGAUGAAGGCCUUCGGGUUGUAAAGCUCUGUCUUUGGGGACGAUAAUGACGGUACCCAAGGAGGAAGCCACGGCUAACUACGUGCCAGCAGCCGCGGUAAAAC